CCAAUAGCGUAUAUUAAAGUUGUUGCAGUUAAAAAGCUCGUAGUUGAAUUUCGGGAUUAGUACGCUGGUCGUGCCUUCGGUAUGUACUGGUGUUACUGGUUCCUACCUUCUGACGAACCGUCAUGUCAUUAAUUUGGUGUGGCGGGGAAUCAGGACUGUUACUUUGAAAAAAUUAGAGUGUUUAAAGCAGGCUCGCGCUUGAAUACAUUAGCAUGGAAUAAUGAAAUAGGACGUUCGAUCCUAUUUUGUUGGUUUCUAGGAUUGACGUAAUGAUUAAUAGGGAUAGUUGGGGGCAUUAGUAUUCAAUUGUCAGAGGUGAAAUUCUUGGAUUUAUUGAAGACUAACUACUGCGAAAGCAUUUGCCAAGGAUGUUUUCAUUAAUCAAGAACGAAAGUUAGGGGAUCGAAGACGAUCAGAUACCGUCGUAGUCUUAACCAUAAACUAUGCCGACUAGGGAUCGGAUGAUGUUAAUUUUUUAAUGACUCAUUCGGCGCCUUACG
rnacentral:rRNA from 1 species